AUGAAGUAUCAAUACUACUCUAAUCAAUCAGCAUUUAUAACAUGAAAUGCUGAAUAUAUGAACUAAGCCUAGGAGGAGCUCGAACAUUACAGAUAUAGGCUAUACUACUUAGGAGUUUAUCACAACCACAAUAGAUGUUUUCAAAGAUUCUCGCAUUCCUUUCUAACCAUAGACUAUAUAGCAUUUCUGUAAUUGUCAUCUUGAAUGUGUGGCUCGGAG
rnacentral:lncRNA from 1 species